rnacentral:rRNA from 1 species
GUAGGUGGCAAGCGUUGUCCGGAAUUAUUGGGCGUAAAGCGCGCGCAGGCGGUCCUUUAAGUCUGAUGUGAAAGCCCACGGCUCAACCGUGGAGGGUCAUUGGAAACUGGGGGACUUGAGUACAGAAGAGGAAAGCGGAAUUCCAAGUGUAGCGGUGAAAUGCGUAGAGAUUUGGAGGAACACCAGUGGCGAAGGCGGCUUUCUGGUCUGUAACUGACGCUGAGGCGCGAAAGCGUGGGGAGCAAACAGGGAUUAGAUACCCUGGUAGUCCACGCCGUAAACGAUGAGUGCUAAGUGUUAGGGGGUUUCCCGCCCCCUUAGUGCUGUAGCUAACGCAUUAAGCACUCCGCCUGGGGAGUACGGCCGCAAGGCUG